GUAAAGCUCUUUCGCAAGGGAAGGAAACUUAGUCUCUAACAUAGACUGAGGUUGACGGUACCUUGAUAAGAAGCACCGGCUAACUACGUGCCAGCAGCCGCGGUAAUACGUAGGGUGCGAGCGUUAAUCGGAAUUACUGGGCGUAAAGCGUGCGCAGGCGGUUUUGUAAGUCAGAUGUGAAAUCCCCGAGCUCAACUUGGGAACUGCGUUUGAAACUACAAGACUAGAAUAUGUCAGAGGGGGGUAGAAUUCCACGUGUAG
rnacentral:rRNA from 1 species